GUGGGCUGCACGGUGGCGCGGUGGGUAGCGCUGUUGCCUUGCAAGAAGCAAGAAGGUUCUGGGUUCGAUUCCCGGAGUUUGCA